rnacentral:rRNA from 1 species
AGAGUUUGAUCAUGGCUCAGAGUGAACGCUGGCGGCAGGCCUAAUACAUGCAAGUCGAACGGCAGCACAGCAGAGCUUGCUCUGUGGGUGGCGAGUGGCGGACGGGUGAGGAAUACGUGGGAAUCUGCCCAGUCGUGGGGAUAACGUAGGGAAACUUACGCUAAUACCGCAUGCGCCCUUCGGGGGAAAGCCGGGGACCUUCGGGCCUGGCGCGAUUGGAUGAGCCCACGUCGGAUUAGCUAGUUGGCGGGGUAAAGCCCACCAAGGCGACGAUCCGUAGCUGGUCUGAGAGGAUGAUCAGCCACACUGGAACUGAGACACGGUCCAGACUCCUACGGGAGGCAGCAGUAGGGAAUAUUGGACAAUGGGCGCAAGCCUGAUCCAGCCAUGCCGCGUGAGUGAAGAAGGCCCUCGGGUUGUAAAGCUCUUUUGUCCGGAAAGAAAAGCGCCGGGUUAAUACCCUGGUGUCCUGACGGUACCGGAAGAAUAAGCACCGGCUAACUUCGUG